CUCCAUCCCACUUUGGUCCAUGGCGCCCCCGAGUCGGACGGUCAAGCGGGGCAGCAGUUAAGCCCAACAGAGAACGAGGUGGUCACGGCCCGCGCGACUGGGAUGCGGAGAGAAACGAGCUCUCAGUACUCCGUGUCCAGGAUUCUUUUCAGAAGGGGAAAGGAAUGAGAACUCUCACAGGUGAUCAGGGAGAGAGUGGAUCUCAGCUGUCAUUCUACCACGGGAAGAUAAAUCCACACAAAAUCCUACAGAGCCUUCUGCAAUUUGCUAUUUUUAAUAUUAAAUGCUACAUUUUCAUUUUUAAAAUAUAAUAAUGCUACAUUUACCAUCAAUCUUCGUUUGCUUUAAUUUAGACCUGAAGCUCAAUUUUCCCUACUUUGCUUGUUCACUGGACAGUCUGGCUACACAGAAAUUUACAUCCUGAAUAAAGGAUUUCAGGCAAUUUACUGAAGCACAGCUGCGAUUUUAAGCUCAUCCAUUUAGCAUGAAGAAACAUUAAGAAAAAAGGCACAUUUUCAGAGUGUAUAAUGCAGUUUUAAAAGAUAAAGACACUUGCAUGUCUGUGUUCAGCACAGCACUAUCACAAUAGCAAAGCCAUGGAAUCAACCUAAACGUCCGCCAAGGGCAGACUGGAUAAAGAAAAUGUGGCACAUAUACACUGUGGAAUUCUACGCAGCCGUGAAAAAGAAUGAGAUCAUAUCCUUUGCAGGGACAUGGAUGGAGCGGGAGGCCAUGAUCCCGAGUAAACAUAGAAACAAAAAACCAAAUAGGCGAUGUUCCCACUUAUAAGUGGGAGCUAAACAACAAGAACACGUGGAUACUAGGAGACGAAAAACAGACACUGGGGCCUACUUGAUGGGGGGUGGGCAGGAGGGAGGGCAUCGCAAAAGAAUACGGCUCGGUUACUAUGUUUAGUACCCAGGUCACAAAACCCCUGUUACACCCAGUCUACCUAGGUAACAAACUUGCACAUGUAUCCCUGAACCUGAAAUACAGGUUUUUUUAAAAAAGGUAAAAUAAAAAUAAAGAAUAAUCUAAGCUAUUCAAGUAACGACCCAAAAGUUUUUCUGUAUGUUAUGAAGAGCAGUGAAUGCAUUGCUAAGCAGCUAGGCUGAGAUGAGGGUAAGAGGAGAGAGGUUUAGUGGUCCUGUCGUCUAGUCCUGACUCUGCUGUCACAAUUUAUUUCACUUCUUUGGGCUGUCAAUUUUCUCAUCUAUAAAAUUAAGCGAUUGGCCGGGUGCGGUGGCUAAUGUUUGUCAUCACGGCACUUUGGGAGGCCGAAGUGGGUGAAUCACCUGAGGUCAGGAGUUUAAGACCAGCCUGGCCAACAUGGUGAAAACUCAUCUCUACUAAAAACAUGAAAAUUAGCCGGGCAACAAAAUGGGGGCAAAUGCCCGUAACACCAGAUACUCAGGAGGCUGAGGCAGAAGAAUCACUUGAACGCGGGCCGUGGAAGUUGCAGUGAGCCAAGAUUGCGCCACUGCACUCCAGGCGGGGCAACAGAGUGAGACUCUGUCUCAAAAAAUAAAAUAAAAUAAGUUGGACUAAAUGCUCUUGGUGCUAAUUUUCAAUGAUCUGUGAAAUCAUAAAAUAAAAGCCAUAAAGACUAAAAAUGUAUUCUAGCUCGCAUGCUUUCAUUUUCUGCAUGAAAUAAAUGCUCAUUCUGAUAUGUUGGUAAGGAAAGUACACAGUGCUUGAAUGCCCAUUUUCUAGGACAUAGAGCAUAUUUAACUAUUUAGCUUAUUAUAUAGCCAUGUAGUUAUAGUUUUGCCUACGUUACACAUUUUGUUCAGAUCUAUUAUUUAUUUACUUCUGAGUCCUUGCUGAUAGGCCCCUGCCCUGAUUAUGGUACUGCUUUCGUGGUGAAAUAGGAUCCACUUCCAUGAUCUGUGCCAUGGAGAUUCAGGAGCACGUUGUAGGGACUCUGUAUGUCGGUGAAUGACACGGACUAUUAAUACGGACAAGCUGUGUUAGAAUCACCCGCAGAUUAUUUGGUAGUUUUUUUGUUUGUUUGUUUGUUUACUAUUCCUGGGUCCUUCUGUUAUAAGGAUAGGACCAUUUACUGAAACUGCAACCUGCAGAAUCCCCCUCAAUCUUUUUAAUAUUUUUAGCUUUUUUUUUCUAAAGUUACUCCUGCUGGAAUGGGAAACUCGUCAAUCUUUUAUCAGGAAAACAACAACAACGGAAUUUUAGAGUUUUUUUUUUUAAAUUCCUGAUCACAGAUACAAAUAAUUAAUGGUCUGGAAAAUAGUUGAGUAUAAUCAAAAAUAUAAUGCUCCUUAAAACAUUGAGAGCUUUAUAGUAACACAAAGGAUGCCACACCCAACCCACCUCCCUAAGCCUCCCACAGUUACCAACUCUUGUCCACAAUUUCAAAAAAGACAACCUAAAAUUCUUUCUAAGCCUUAAUUUUUGUUGAAGCCAAUUUUAAAGUGUGAUCAGGGAUACAGACAAUACAUGUGCUAAAGCUAAAAAUUUUGGUGAUUGCCCAGGCACUUAAAAUCUUUUUUUAACCAAUAUUUCCUUUCUAAAAAUAUAAAUUUAUAUGAAUAAUGGAUUAUUUGUUAUGAUUUGCCUUUGAAUAACCCUUUUCCCCUUCUUUGUCAUGGAGGAAUAAUCCCAAUGUGUUGCUGGGGGAGUUGUCCUACACUGUCUUAUUUCAAAAGGAAACAGUCCCAGCCCGCACAUUUUAGCACGCUGCUUCUCAGGAGCUUGCACUCAUCCACCAAUUGUAUCAUUUAGUUGGGAUAUGACAAAAUUAUGCUAAAACUCAUGUUAAAGCUUCAGGUUUUUGUUUGUUUGUUUUUGCUGAUCUACAUAUCAGCCUUACCUCCAUGUACUUCACUAAUUAUAUUUAAGGAAUCAGAAGACUUCCUCUCUGAAUUUUAUUCUCGUUAAUUUUUCUAGAAUAUUUAUCUGUUAAAUAAAAUGAGUUGUUAGGGUAUGUUAAGUGUGUAGGGCACGUAACCAGUCGACUGUCAAGGUUCUGAGUAGGUUAGAUUUCAUGGUCAAGCAUAAUCUUUAAACACUCACAAUCUCACUCCUACACAUUCCCAGCCCCCUGAAGUCUUUCAUUCACUCCUAUUCAUUCUUACUUGCUCUUACUAGUAAUAUCUGCAUUUAGAUUCUCUCAUCUUACCUUUCCCAAACCUCUUGCCUCACAAUAAGUUUUAUUUUCCCUGCUUACAUUAGUUACAUCUACUCUGAUCUGUAGACAUUUUUUUAACCCAAAACCCAGCAAAGCAAACACUGUCAACCUGUCAAAAAAAAAAAAGGGGGGGCUGCAAUGGUGGAGAGCAGAUAAGCAGGUGGUAAUAAAGGAUUCUAGUGAAUCUGAGCCAGCCUGGGAACCUGCUGGGCUGGCCUGGCUCAGAGGUGGUAAGAGAAGGCAACAGGAGGCAGGAGGCGGCCCCAUCCACUGUCCCUCCCCAGAGCAGGAAAGCGUGGGGGACUCCCUACCCUAAAGCACACGGGGGGAAACUAUCUAAGGAAGAGUCCCAGCAAGAUCAAGUAUCGGUGCCACGUCCAAGGGGUCAGAGAAAUGAUCAGUCAGGGUGGUAGGGCCACGAGUUUACCUUGUGGUUUGGCUCUAUGUCGGUGUAUGGAAGUGCCGACAGCUGAGCUGAGAGCUGCCAAGAGAGGCAGAGAGCAGGUGUGUCAGAGAUUUGGGGCCUGCACGGAAGCGAAAUGUGAUGGCAGAAGAAGACGCCACAGGAGUUGUUGAGGCGUCAGUUGGAAAGUGAACAGCAGAACUGGCAGUGGCUGCUGGGCCUGUUGGGGCACAAGGAAUGACAAAGACGGGCAGCUGCAAGGCAAGACAGACCAGAUUGGCCAGUACAACAGCAGAGGGCCACACUGGGCUUUAAUUCAGGAAUCCUGGUGGAGGCAAUAACGAGAGGAAAGAUGAGACACAGUAGGUAAGUCAAGGUAGCGGUCAGGAUCGACGGAGACAGGCUGGCCAGAUGGCUGUUCAUUGAGUGGUGUGUCCGGCUUUCCAGCAUCAACUGGAUAGCCGAAUGACAAUGUGAGUCACCUUAAGCCAAGGUCAAUUUUACUCCUCUACUUUGCUGGGGAUCAGAAUCAUUAACUGCGUCAAUAACGCCCACAUUCGACUCAUCCUACAAUGGAGGCAAUUGUAACUUUGGCAAAACCAAGGAACUUUUUUUUUUUUGAGACAGAGUCUGGCUCUGUCACCCAGGCUGGAGUGCAGUGGUGCAAUCUCAGCUCACUGCAGCCUUCACCUUCCAGGUUCAAGCAGUUCUCGUGCCUCAGCCUCCCGCGUAGCGGGAACUACAGGUGUGUGCUGCCAAGCCCGGCUAAUUUUUGUAUUUUGUAGUAGAGACAGAUUUUCACCAUGUUGGCCUGGAUGGUCUGGAUCUCCUGACGUCGUGAUUCACCUGCCUCGGCCUUCCAAAGUGCUGGGAUUACAGGCAUGAGCCACCGCGUGAGACAGAACUUUUUUUCUGUUUUUUGAAUGGCGUCUUGCUCUGCCGACCAGGCUCAAGUGCAGUGGUGCAAUCUUGGCUCACUGCAACCUCCUCCUCCCAGGUUCAAGCGAUUCUCCUGCCUCAGCCUCCUAUGUAGCCGGGGUUACAGGCGCACACCACCACUCUAGGCUAAAUUUUGUAUUUUAGUAGAGAUGGAGUUUCACCAUGUUGGUCAGGCUGGUCUCGAACUCCGGACCUCGUGAUCCACCCACCUUGGCCUCCCAAAGUGCUGGGAUUACAACAUGAGCCACUGUGCCCAGCCGAACUAUUUUUUUAACUGAUGCACAUUAAUAAGAUUUAGAAAAUCUUGAGAUUUAACUGACAGUGUUGAGAUUCGUACAACUUUAUGUUGAGAAUUCUCUUUCCAGGAAUUAUUUCAAUUAGUCACAUUUUUAUCUUCUACCGAAGUGUCAGUUUAGUGUAAAUAACUGCCAUUUGAAUACUAACUUGUAUAAAAAAAUACAAAAAGAUUGUUUAUGUGUGUGUGUGUACACAUACGUGUCAAGACUAAAAACUAAGCACUGGCUUAAGUCUUUGGCAAAGGACAAGCAGUUGGCAAGUUCGCAAGUUAGAAUUUGUAAUUCCAUCCCGAAGUGGACUAAAUCGUCAGUUUAAAAAGAUUGUGAGUGUCAGCACAUGCAGAGGUCAUCCUGUGUCAAUGUCGUUACAGUUUGCAAGUCCUGUGUCAAUUCACGUUGUAGCCCACGGGUACUAAUGACUUCGCCUAAAGGAGAUGUUCAGAAAUGGAAGUGUAAACUCAACCCUAGUUGAUCAAUAUGCUGAUUGUGUUUCCUCGUUGUGAUUCAAGCGAAUAUUUGAUUAUCUUUGGGUUGAUCCGUAGUAUAUUCAGCAGUAUCAUGAGCACAUAAUUUUUGUUGAUGGUUUGUCCAAAGUUUCUAUCAAUCCAUCCUACCAGCAUUGCUGCCUGAGUUAUAACAGCUGCCCCGAGAAUCUUGUCUGAACGACAAGUUAACUGCUGUUCCCAGUUAUAUCUGGUCUUUCCCACCCCCAAACAUACACAAAAGAUUUUUGUCAUUCUUGGCAUUGGACAGCAGAAGUGGUAAGACAUGCCAGCAGAACUCCAAAGGCAGACUGUCCUUCCACCUGUUUUAUGCUACAAGACAAACUUCCAAGUGCGAGGCGGCGUGGAGAGCUGUUUCCUUGAAUGGCAGCUGAAUGUGCCAGCGGGAUCCUUGGCAGCAAUGCCCAGGCACUGAAGCCGGGCAUUCAGGAGAGCUAAAUGGAGAACAGAGACUUGAGCAAACUGCUUCCUGGAACACUGAGAACCUGAAUGGGAAAUUAAGAAGAACCAGAUUCUUUCUCUUCUUCCACCAGCCAAGGUGAUGAGCACAAAAGGACCCAUCUUUUUUUUUUUUUUUUUUUUUUUUUGAGACAGAGUUUUGCUCUUGUUACCCAGGCUGGAGUGCAAUGGCGCCAUCUCGGCUCACCGCAACCUCUGCCUCCUGGCUUCAGGCAAUUCUCCUGCCUCAGCCUCCUGAGUAGCUGGGAUUACAGGCACGGGCCAUUGUGCCCAGCUAAUUUUUUAUAUUUUUAGUAGAGACGGGGUUUCACCAUUUGACCGGGAUGGUCUCGAUCUCUCGACCUUGUGAUCCACCCGCCUCGGCCUCCCAAAGUGCUGGGAUUACAGGCGUGAGCCACCACGCCCGGCCAAAUGGACCAUCUUAUGCAGCGCUUGGCAGCUUCUGUAAUACUACUCACCAUGCUGCUGACAUCACAUGUUCCAGAACCAAUCCUGUCCUUUGACAAGAAGGAUUUCAUUAUCAGUUCCGGUGGCGACUGGCUAGAGAGAGGAAGAAACACUUCAGGGACUCUGCCGCCAUGCCCAGAUGGGGAGUGCAGAGUUUGUACCACGGGACUCCAGGGUUCCUUCUCUAGCAGCUACCCUGUGGCAGUGCCUAUUUGGAACCUCCCUUAACUGCUGACUGCAUAGAUGUUUGCUUCAUUUGUCCAUCUGUUUGAUCACUAUUAGAGCUGUUUUAAGCCUUAAGAGAGAUAGUGGACUAGAAGGUACCUUGGAAAAGUAUAAAGCUCCAUCCAAGUAACGUAACUUGAAUAUCAAAUAUGUAUUUACUACCGAUUAUCAGUUCCAUUCUUUUUUUCUGUUUUUAAACUGGGAACUUAUAAAGCCUAAAAUAUAAAAUGUGUAUACAUGGAUAUGCUCUGAAGUGAGGUGGAGGGAUAGAAAUUGACAUUGUGGUAUUGCUCUAUAGCUUUGCAAGAUGUUAGCAUUGGGAGGAACUGCUUGAAGGCUACAAGGGAAAGCUCUGUCUUAUUACUUACAACAGCAUGUGAAUGUACAGUUAUCUCAAAAUAAAAAUCUAAUUAACAAUAAAUAAAUCCAGAGCGUGGAUUUCUUAUCCUGUCAUUUUCCUCCUCCUGAAAUUGCAGAAUAGCCAAACAGAAACCUCCCCAUGACCACCAGCUGAGAUUCACUGGUGCCCGUAUUAGUGGACACAGGCAGGUGCAUCAUGGGGCCUCCAGUCAUGCAUAAUGGAAGAUACCAACUCAACUGAUAUAAGCAAAGGAAAAUACAGUGUAUUAGAUAAUGACACCUCUCGAGCAGGGUAGUCGUAGGGUCAGCUGAUUCAGCAGCUUGAUUCGUAAUCAAGAGCCCAAAUUCUUUUCCACUUUCUCCCCUGCCAUCCUCAGCCUAUCAGUUUCAUCCUUCAGGUGGCUCAAAGGUAGUUGCAAGGUGGCUGCUAUCAUGCCACGUCCUACAUGCAGAUGUGAAAAGUAUCUCUUUUCAACAGUCUCAUUUUAAGCGCAAGGAAACACCUGCAGGCCUUUCUGCGUCUUUUGACACUUGUUUUAUUGUGGAACAAGUCACAAACACCUCUUUAAGUGGGUCACUUGGCCAGGAGGGAGAGCUUGCCAUUAUCCUUAGAUGGAGGAGAGGAGGGGUGAGGUGGUUACCCCUGAACCUGGUCAGUGUUCUGCAGAGAUGGGGUGAUAAAUAGGCAAUUCCUUGCCAAGGAGCCACGGUAAAGCUUCAGGCCAGCUCAGAGGGUGACGAAGAGCAAGAAGAACAACCAGAAGGAACACACUUUUACAGCCUGCUUCUGAUUCCACACCAUGAGGACAGCAGGGCAGCAUGCCACACCGGUCCAGGAACUCAGAACUAGGUAAGGAGCAAGGGAGAAAGGAUGCUGUAACUGAAACACAGAGAAUGAACUUUCUCCCAGGUGGCUUCAAGGGCUGUCCUUCUAAAAGAUCUUGUCCUGGGUUUAAAGGUUAGCAAAUGUUUUGUUUUGUUUUGUUUUGCCUGCAUGAGGGUUGAGUUAAA